GAUGAACGCUGGCGGCGUGCCUAAUACAUGCGAGUCGAGCGAACAGACGAGGAGCUUGCUCCUCUGACGUUAGCGGCGGACGGGUGAGUAACACGUGGAUAACCUACCUAUAAGACUGGGAUAACUUCGGGAAACCGGAGCUAAUACCGGAUAAUAUAUUGAACCGCAUGGUUCAAUAGUGAAAGACGGUUUUGCUGUCACUUAUAGAUGGAUCCGCGCCGCAUUAGCUAGUUGGUAAGGUAACGGCUUACCAAGGCAACGAUGCGUAGCCGACCUGAGAGGGUGAUCGGCCACACUGGAACUGAGACACGGUCCAGACUCCUACGGGAGGCGGCAGUAGGGAAUCUUCCGCAAUGGGCGAAAGCCUGACGGAGCAACGCCGCGUGAGUGAUGAAGGUCUUCGGAUCGUAAAACUCUGUUAUUAGGGAAGAACAAAUGUGUAAGUAACUAUGCACGUCUUGACGGUACCUAAUCAGAAAGCCACGGCUAACUACGUG
rnacentral:rRNA from 1 species